UACGUAGGGUGCAAGCGUUGUCCGGAUUUAUUGGGCGUAAAGAGCUCGUAGGCGGUUUGUCACGUCGGGUGUGAAAAUCCGGGGCUUAACCCCGGACCUGCAUCCGAUACGGGCAGACUUGAGUGUGGUAGGGGAGACUGGAAUUCCUGGUGUAGCGGUGAAAUGCGCAGAUAUCAGGAGGAACACCGAUGGCGAAGGCAGGUCUCUGGGCCACAACUGACGCUGAGGAGCGAAAGCGUGGGGAGCAAAC
rnacentral:rRNA from 1 species